UUGCUUCAGCAGCACAUAUACUAAAAUUGGAAUGAUGCAGAGAUCAACACGGCCCCUAUGCAAGGAUGACAAGCAAACUCGUGAAGAGUUGCAUAUUUUU
rnacentral:snRNA from 1 species